UGGGGAAUAUUGCACAAUGGGCGCAAGCCUGAUGCAGCCAUGCCGCGUGUAUGAAGAAGGCCUUCGGGUUGUAAAGUACUUUCAGCGGGGAGGAAGGUGUUGUGGUUAAUAACCACAGCAAUUGACGUUACCCGCAGAAGAAGCACCGGCUAACUCCGUGCCAGCAGCCGCGGUAAUACGGAGGGUGCAAGGGUUAAUCGGAAUUACUGGGCGUAAAGCGCACGCAGGCGGUCUGUCAAGUCGGAUGUGAAAUCCCCGGGCUCAACCUGGGAACUGCAUCCGAAACUGGCAGGCUUGAGUCUUGUAGAGGGGGGUAGAAUUCCAGGUGUAGCGGUGAAAUGCGUAGAGAUCUGGAGGAAUACCGGUGGCGAAGGCGGCCCCCUGGACAAAGACUGACGCUCAGGUGCGAAAGCGUGGGGAGCAAACA
rnacentral:rRNA from 1 species